rnacentral:rRNA from 1 species
AACGCUAGCGGCAGGCUUAAUACAUGACAAGGUCGGAGGGGCAUACAAGGUACACGAAAGUGUAUUGUUGGCGACCGGCGGACGGGUGAGUAAUAGGUAGGUAACCUACCUCAUACUGAGGCAUAGCUGGGAGAAAUUCCAGGUAAUUCCUCAUGAGGUUAUAUGACACAUGUGAUAUAAUCAAAGGUAUCGCAAGGUACUGGUAUGAGAUGGGCUUACUGACCAUUAGCUAGUUGGUGAGAUAAGAGCUCACCAAGGCGAAGAUGGUUAGGGGUUUUGAGAGAGAGAUCCCCCACAUUGGAACUGAGAUACGGUCCAGACUCCUACGGGAGGCAGCAGUAGGGAAUAUUGGGCAAUGGGCGGAAGCCUGACCCAGCCAUGCCGCGUGAAGGAAGACGGCCUUAUGGGUUGUAAACUUCUUUACUAUGCGACUAACUAGAUUUACGAGAUAAUUCUAUAGAAUGUAGCAUAGCAAAAAGCACCGGCUAACUCCGUG